rnacentral:tRNA from 1 species
GGCGGCGUAGCCAAGUGGUUAAGGCAGGGGUCUGCAAAACCCCCAUUCGCCGGUUCGAAUCCGGCCGCCGCCU